rnacentral:rRNA from 1 species
AGAAUCAACGCUGGCGGCGUGCCUAACACAUGCAAGUCGAACGAGAAAGGGUAGCAAUACCCGAGUAAAGUGGCGCACGGGUGAGUAACACGUGACUAACCUACCCUGGAGUGGGGGAUAACUGAGGGAAACCUUAGCUAAUACCGCAUAAUACCUACGGGUCAAAGGAGCAAUUCGCUUUGGGAGGGGGUCGCGGCCGAUUAGUUAGUUGGCGGGGUAAUGGCCCACCAAGACAGUGAUCGGUAUCC